CUUGAACGCUGGCGGCAGGCCUAACACAUGCAAGUCGAACGAGUGGCGGACGGGUGAGUAAUGUCUGGGAAACUGCCUGAUGGAGGGGGAUAACUACUGGAAACGGUCGCUAAUACCGCAUACCAUCGGAUGUGCCCAGAUGGGAUUAGCUAGUAGGUGGGGUAACGGCUCACCUAGGCGACGCUCCCUAGCUGGUCUGAGAGGAUGGCCAGCCAAACUGGAACUGAGACACGGGCCAGACUCCUACGGUAGGCAGCAGGGGGGAAUAUUGCAAGAUGGGCGCAAGCCUGAUGCAGCCAUGCCGAGUGUAUGAAGAAGGCCUUCGGGUUGUAGAGUACUUUCAGCGGGGAGGCGUUACCCGCAGAAGAAGCAGCGGCUAACUCCGUGCCAGCAGCCGCGGUAAUUC
rnacentral:rRNA from 1 species